GUAGGGGGCUAGCGUUGUCCGGAAUCAUUGGGCGUAAAGCGCGUGUAGGCGGCCCGGUAAGUCCGCUGUGAAAGUCGGGGGCUCAACCCUCGGAUGCCGGUGGAUACUGUCGGGCUCGAGUACGGAAGAGGCGAGUGGAAUUCCUGGUGUAGCGGUGAAAUGCGCAGAUAUCAGGAGGAACACCGAUUGCGAAGGCAGCUCGCUGGGACGUUACUGACGCUGAGACGCGAAAGCGUGGGGAGCAAACAGGAUUAGAUACCCUGGUAGUCCACGCUGUAAACGAUGGGCACUAGGUGUGGGGGGUGUCGACUCCCUCCGUGCCGAAGCUAACGCAUUAAGUGCCCCGCCUGGGGAGUACGGCCGCAAGGCUAAA
rnacentral:rRNA from 1 species